UCGAACGAGAAAGUGGAGCAAUCCAUGAGUAAAGUGGCGACCGGGUGAGUAACACGUGACUAACCUACCUCCGAAUGGGGAAUAACUCCGGGAAACCGGGGCUAAUACCGCAUAACACCGCAAGGUCAAAGCAGCAAUGCGUUUGGAGAGGGGGUCGCGGCUGAUUAGCUAGUUGGCGGGGUAACGGCCCACCAAGGCGAAGAUCGGUAUCCGGCCUGAGAGGGCGCACGGACACACUGGAACUGAAACACGGUCCAGACUCCUACGGGAGGCAGCAGUGGGGAAUUUUGCGCAAUGGGGGAAACCCUGACGCAGCAACGCCGCGUGGAGGAUGAAGCCCCUUGGGGCGUACACUCCUUUCGACCAAGACGAUAAUGACGGUACUGGUGGAAGAAGCACCGGCUUACUCUGUG
rnacentral:rRNA from 1 species